UACAGAGGGUGCAAGCGUUGUUCGGAAUUAUUGGGCGUAAAGGGCGCGUAGGCGGUGCUGUAAGUCUGUAGUGAAAUCUCUGGGCUCAACUCAGAGUCUGCUAUAGAAACUGCAGUGCUGGAGUGUGGGAGAGGUGAGUGGAAUCCCCGGUGUAGCGGUGAAAUGCGUAGAUAUCGGGAGGAACACCUGUGGCGAAAGCGGCUCACUGGACCACAACUGACGCUGAGGCGCGAAAGCUAGGGGAGCAAACAGG
rnacentral:rRNA from 1 species